rnacentral:rRNA from 1 species
UGGAUCCAGACUUGAUCAUGCUCAGGACGAACGCUGGCGGCGCGCCUAACACAUGCAAGCCGAACGGAGUCAAGAGGAGCUUGCUUUUCUUGACUUAGUGGCGAACGGGUGAGUAACGCGUGAGUAACCUGCCCUGGAGUGGGGGACAACAGUUGGAAACGACUGCUAAUACCGCAUAAGCCCACGGAUCCGCAUGGAUCUGCGGGAAAAGGAUUUAUUCGCUUCAGGAUGGACUCGCGUCCAAUUAGCUAGUUGGUGAGGUAACGGCCCACCAAGGCGACGAUUGGUAGCCGGACUGAGAGGUUGAACGGCCACAUUGGGACUGAGACACGGCCCAGGCUCCUACGGGAGGCAGCAGUGGGGGAUAUUGCACAAUGGGGGAAACCCUGAUGCAGCGACGCCGCGUGGAGGAAGAAGGUUUUCGGAUUGUAAACUCCUGUCGUUAGGGACGAUAAUGACGGUACCUAACAAGAAAGCACCGGCUAACUACGUGCCAGCAGCCGCGGUAAAACGCAGGGUGCAAGCGUUGUCCGGAAUUACUGGGUGUAAAGGGAGCGCAGGCGGACCGGCAAGUUGGAAGUGAAAACUAUGGGCUCAACCCAUAAAUUGCUUUCAAAACUGCUGGCCUUGAGUAGUGCAGAGGUAGGUGGAAUUCCCGGUGUAGCGGUGGAAUGCGUAGAUAUCGGGAGGAACACCAGUGGCGAAGGCGACCUACUGGGCACCAACUGACGCUGAGGCUCGAAAGCAUGGGUAGCAAACAGGAUUAGAUACCCUGGUAGUCCAUGCCGUAAACGAUGAUUACUAGGUGUUGGAGGAUUGACCCCUUCAGUGCCGCAGUUAACACAAUAAGUAAUCCACCUGGGGAGUACGACCGCAAGGUUGCAACUCAAAUGAAUUGACGGA